GUGACAGCUGUCACACUGACAGCUACUGUCGCAAGUUAAAUUUAAAGGUUUUUAUUGGGUUUCCUGUUUAUUCUACAUUGUUCUGAAUGCAAACUUAAUGAACAAGAUGCUCCAUUGCUUCCUUCUUCUAUUUCCUUGGAUGGAAAACCUUUUUCUGAACUUCACAAUUCACUUCGGGCAAAAAGCGUACAACAGAAACUGCAGCUAAGUGAAGAAAGCAGAAAGCAGUGAAGAAAGCAGAAAGUCGAAAGCAUUCUUUACUAGCAGUUUUCAUUUGCAAAUAGUGGAAACCGUAACUGCAGAAAGUGACCAAAAAUAUUACUUCAUUAUGAAGAUGGAUAACAACUAUGAACCCUGUUGAUUCUAUUGUUGCUUCCUACAUGAUCUUUAGAGACUGCAUUGAAAAUACUGGAAAAACAAAAAUAUUAAUCUUCAUCAAAUCCCCAGGAAGACACAAAGACAUAUAAGAAUAGCUAUCAAUCAAUAUUUACAUUCAUUUUAAUCUAUGUAUGUUUUAGAUCAACAUUCAUGUUCAAUAUUCUUCUAGAAGCAAAUGCUUACGAAAAUACAGGCCAUUUUUUAAGACGUUAUUUUCCCUAA